UAGGGAAUCUUCGGCAAUGGACGAAAGUCUGACCGAGCAACGCCGCGUGAGUGAAGAAGGUUUUCGGAUCGUAAAACUCUGUUGUUAGAGAAGAACAAGGACGUUAGUAACUGAACGUCCCCUGACGGUAUCUAACUAGAAAGCCACGGCUAACUACGUGCCAGCAGCCGCGGUAAUACGUAGGUGGCAAGCGUUGUCCGGAUUUAUUGGGCGUAAAGCGAGCGCAGGCGGUUUCUUAAGUCUGAUGUGAAAGCCCCCGGCUCAACCGGGGAGGGUCAUUGGAAACUGGGAGACUUGAGUGCAGAAGAGGAGAGUGGAAUUCCAGGUGUAGCGGUGAAAUGCGUAGAUAUAUGGAGGAACACCAGUGGCGAAGGCGGCUCUCUGGUCUGUAACUGACGCUGAGGCUCGAAAGCGUGGGGAGCAAACAGG
rnacentral:rRNA from 1 species